CACUCUCGAAUGAGAAACCCUAGCCGCCCCUUUUACCCUCGCCGUCUCCGCCGUAGUCCACCAAUCGGAAAUCGCCUCAUGGCGGCAGAACACCUCCAAACUCCACCAAAUUAACACCAGAUAACCACCAUAACCUCCUCAUCCUAUAUCUAUCACCGAUUUCUCCAAAAUCUUUACCCAUUUGCUCCAAUUUCAGAUCUAAAACUUUGAAAGAAAACCAAAACCCUAAACUGUCCUGUUCUCUUUGAUUAUUAUGGUUUCAAAGGUUAUGAUAAUCGAUUGUUCUUGACAAGAGCAAUCAAUUAGCGUCAGUUUUGGUUUAUUUCAAGACCUUCCGGACUCUGACCAAGCACCUACUGGCCCGCCAAAGCUCCAAGGCUUACAUAGCUCAUGCACCUGCCUUAGUAUAUCUUGUGCCUUGAAUUAUGAAUGAAAGCUUGUUUUGAAGAUAUUGCUGCCAUGGAGUUUUGGAAUUAUAUUUACAUUUUUAUUUCGUUCUGAUGUUUACUUCUGAGUAAUUCGAAUACUGUUCUUUUUUUGGCUUUUUUCUUAUUAGUUUCUGUUUAGUUACAUUAAAGUUUUUGCUGUGUGGAUUCAUGAAAUAGCCAGGAUGUUCAGUGUUGAAGGAUUUGAAUAGCACCUCUUGCAUAUGCUGAGUUUAGGUUAAGUAGUCUAGUUUAAAAUGUUAACUUUCAGUCUUUUCUACUUCUAUGUGAUUCUGUCCAGUUUUUUAAAUUUACUGUUUGGUAAUAUAUGAGCUUUUCAUGCUUGAGUAUUUUGGAUAAGUGCUGGGUAUAAUCAAAAUAGAACAUGAUUGAUGCUUGAGUACAUUUGGUUGAAGUGUUUCAGCACUACUACAGUGUGUAAAAUGAUUGUAUGUUCAUGUUGCUUCAUGAGCAACAAUUGUAGUCUUUUAGCGUUUCUACAGUGUUCAAAAGAAUUAUGUAUAUUGAAAAUGCAAUGUAUAGCUUUAAGCAUGUUCAGUUUUUCUUACUACUGCUAAUUCCAGCAUUUUUAACUAACCAUCUACAAUGAUUUAGGAACAGUUUUAAAGAUUCAAUUAUUUUUUUGUUA